rnacentral:tRNA from 1 species
GCGGGUGUAGUUUAGUGGUAAAACUACAGCCUUCAAAGCUGUUGUCGCGAGUUCGAUUCUCGUCACCCGCU